UACGGAGGAUGCGAGCGUUAUCCGGAUUUAUUGGGUUUAAAGGGUGCGUAGGCGGACGCUUAAGUCAGCGGUAAAAUUGCGGGGCUCAACCUCGUCGAGCCGUUGAAACUGGGUGCCUUGAGUGGGCGAGAAGUACGCGGAAUGCGUGGUGUAGCGGUGAAAUGCAUAGAUAUCACGCAGAACUCCGAUUGCGAAGGCAGCGUACCGGCGCCCAACUGACGCUGAGGCACGAAAGCGUGGGGAUCAAACAGG
rnacentral:rRNA from 1 species